rnacentral:rRNA from 1 species
GACGAACGCUGGCGGCGUGCCUAAUACAUGCAAGUUGAGCGCUGAAGGUUGGUACUUGUACCAACUGGAUGAGCAGCGCACGGGUGAGUAACGCGUGGGGAAUCUGCCUUUGAGCGGGGGACAACAUUUGGAAACGAAUGCUAAUACCGCAUAAAAACUUUAAACACAAGUUUUAAGUUUGAAAGAUGCAAUUGCAUCACUCAAAGAUGAUCCCGCGUUGUAUUAGCUAGUUGGUGAGGUAAAGGCUAACCAAGGCGAUGAUACAUAGCCGACCUGAGAGGGUGAUCGGCCACAUUGGGACUGAGACACGGCCCAAACCCCUACGGGAGGCAGCAGUAGGGAAGCUUCGGCAAUGGACGAAAGGCUGAGCGAGCAACGCCGCGUGAGUGAAGAAGGGUGUCGGAUCGUAAAACUCUGUUGGUAGAGAAGAACGUUGGUGAGAGUGGAAAGCUCAUCAAGUGACGGUAACUACACAGAAAGGGACGGCUAACUACGUG